AAGUGCGCGCCUCGCCGAGGACGAAGAGGCUGGCGUGCCCGGUGGCUCGGCUAGCUCCCGGGUCCCGGCCCCGCCUGGAGGGUGGGUCCGCCGAUUACUCACUUUGUUUUUAGGGGAUUUCAGGGCCCCCUCCCGCCGAUCGGCGGAGUUUGGUGAUGUCACUCUGGGCCGGGUCUGGAGCAAAGCCAGGGCUACUGGGCUGCGGCCGCCCGCCCCGCGCAGGGAAAAGCCCGACCGGGCCUUCUGCUCCGCAGAGGCCGGGUGGUUGAACUCCGCGCGGGUUUCCUAACCGCUAAAGGUGCCUUUCGGUGGUGGCUGUCUCAGAAGCACGUUAAAAUGUCCUACCCACCCCAAUCUAGAUGCGGCUGUGGGGGAAUGGGAGCGGCCGGACCUCCCAGCCUGACAGUGCAUCAAGAGCUUUGCGGAGCCUACAGCCCGGAUGGGACGACUGAGGCCCUCCCGCUGGCGAGCUGGCCGAGGGCUCGUCCCUCUCCAGCUAAAGCGCCAGCUUACGAUACAGCCAAACUGCCGGCUCUCAUCGGCUGUGGGAGCAGGAGGCCCCCAGGGGUAAAUCCCGGAGCCUCGUCUCUGAAGCCUGGCGCUUGUGUCUCAGAAGGUGCGGGACCCACAGGGACACUUGAAUCAGCAGGCUCACGACCCCCCACCCCCCUGCCCCCGCCUGUGUUUGCCCUGGACCUCCAGCUAGGGCUGACCACUAAUUCUGUCAUGUGACCCCACAGUGCAGGUAGCUCCCCCAAGACCAAGCCCAAGGCGCGUCCGUGUGGAGGCUGGGGCUGACGCACCCCCACCCCAGGCCUCAUCCCCAAAGGAGGAUGCUCCACUGCAGGGGGCGGAGUCUUCUCCAGAUGGAGAAAGACUUUUUUAUUUUCUCUGAAUUCGUCUUAAAUUAGGAAAUCAUGUGGGAAUUGGAAAAGAUUGGAAAUUCUGACUUGUUUCCCAGGCUCUGAAGAAACAGGAAGAGAAAAGUGAAAAUAGAGUUAGCACCCCGCCCACUCAUUUCAGUUUCUCCAGUGGCUGGCCCUGAUUAGAAAAGUGUUUACUUUUGGCAGGGGGCGGGGGAGGCCGACUUCAGGUGACAGAAUGGAUUAAUUAAAAUCUUUGGUUAAUGAUAUACAAUUAUCAUUGAACCUUGCAUGGAUCCUCUUCUUAAAAUUCAUGUAUAUUUAUAACUUUUAAAUUAAUACGAUAAACACCCAUGUACCCAUUGCAAAACUCAAGGGGCCACCACCAUCCAGAAUUCUGUAUUGUAUUGUAUUGUAUUGUAUUGUAUUGUAUUGUAUUGUAUUGUAUUUAUUUAUUUAUUUAUUUUUUGAGACACGGUCUGUCUCUGUCGC
rnacentral:lncRNA from 1 species